AGAGAGCGAGGAACCUGAGGGAGGGGCGAGGGGGCGGAGGCGGGGCCAGGGGACCGGGGGCGGGGCCUGGAGGGGAGCCAGUGCUCAGCCCUUGAAAAGGCGGCGCCAUCCUAAGGAGGGACACAGAUCCACCGCCCAAUUCCUUUCCUGGGAUCUUCAGAGUUAUAGAAAUUUGAGGUCAAGACAGACCUGGAUUGAACUUAAACCUGACAUCAACUUUUGUGACCUUGGGCUCCUAACCAGCCUCUCCGAAGUGACUGUUAUUAAGAUUAAAAGAAGGUAAUAAAUGUGAAGUGUUUACCUGAAGGGUUUAGCUAGCAUGUAGCAAGCCCUUAAUGACUGCAGCUAUUAUCAUAA
rnacentral:lncRNA from 1 species